AUGAACUAAAACAGAAUUUCCAAGAAACAUUAAAAAUUUUUCACGCUAUCCACACAGAGACAGUCCAUAUACCACAAACACUGAACACUAAAGCUAAGACACUUUCAUGAAAUUGCCUAAGUGUGAUAUAUCCUAGAUUGAACUCUGACACAAAGAAGUCACUAAUUUCUCUGCCUCAGCUGCCAACAGUGAAGCGGUUAGGGGCUUAUCUUGAUUUUCCUCCCUACCCCCACCUCAGCCCCUACAGUGGGGAUGCCAAGGCCUCAGAAGGUUAUUUAGGGGGGUUACAGCGCCCCUUUCAGGGCAAAGGAGAAGAGACGCAUCCAUCAGGAGUGGUUCAGGCCCCGAUUUGUGAGACAGUGGAGGAAUAAACUGGGAGACCUCUCCAUAGCUCCUGCCAGUCCUAGGGCUUCAUAUUUCUUUCUGCUUUGUUUUCAUUUCCUCCUGCGUUUCUCUGUGGUGAUUGUUUUUGGUAAGAUGGAAGGUACCUAGGUCCAGGAGACGUAAUAAGGUUCUCAAGACCUGGAGAAGACUCAGGCUCCUAAGUAAGUUCUCCUUCUCCCCCCUUUCCUUGCAUUAACCCCAGGCUAAGAACUGGGAUUUCAACAAGGAUGGCUCUGCCGUGAGGCAUCUUGAUAAUAAAUGACUGCCUGCCACAGGCCCUUGUAAUGAAAAGAAUAAUGGAAGGAAAAAGCAGCUCAAUACACUUUUGAUGUGAAAAUUCAGUGAAGAUUCCGACCAAGAAAAAUUCCAUGGUGUGCUCCCAGUACUCGGUUUAUGAGUUUUCUUAUUUCAGUUUGGUUUCCAGAGACAGCGUAAAUACCAGUUUUUGCCUAGUAACCGCUGUGCUGAAAUCGUUAUUGCUUUUGAUUUAAUUUUAUCUUAUUAUUUCAUAGUCAUAAAGAAGACAGUAAUGUAAAUUAUUUGUGGGCCUAAACAUCUAUUUAUAUCUUUUUUUUCUUUCUCUUCACAUAAUAAAAUGGGAAAUUGUUAAACACACAUUCAUCUUCAGAACAGUGUUAUCCUGAGUCCAGGAGGAAGCUUUCAAAACAGGAGCCCAGCCAAUCGCAAACCUUUCUCUGGACAGACUCUCCUCAGCCCCAGACCCGGCUACUGAGAAAGCCAUAUACCCCAGCACUGUGAAGAUGACAAAUCCUGAAACGAAGCUCGUCAUGCAAUUCACCACGCUGGUCACCAAGGCGUCUCUGGAGCAGAAAACCCAAGGGGCCUGAGACAUUUCCAAGUCAGGGAUCUAAGGAGCAUCUGUCUCCAGCUGUGACAAGGCUCGCGAAAGCCAGCAGGACCCCAAAGCCAGGACCGAGAGAGAAGAAGAUCUGGGCGGCCGCAUCCACCCACACCUGCAACACAGCAGAGAUGCUAAAGUAGAUAACAGUGAAGAUCAGCAUGAUGCAGAGGGCAAGCUGCCAGCUGAUGCCCCCCAGGUCCUGGAGCCCCUUUGACCGGUGGAUCUGCAGGACGUGGCGCCUGAGUGAAUGAGAAAGAAGGGCCAGUGACGUGGUCUGAACAGUUACCUGAGCAUACUGCGUGUGAUACCUCUGGGAGGACACCAAGAGAAAAAACGGACACAGUACUGCAAGGAUCAAGUGGUCAGCAAGCCUCGGGAAGAGCUGGGAGGGGCUCUGCCCAUCCUGAAGGAGAGAACAGGGCAGUCAAGCCAACCAAGCCUGGGAAGAGCGCUCGACCCAAAAGCAGACUUCCAGGUCUCCUUCCUAGGCUGGGACCCAAUGAAUGACUAACAUGACUGGCUUCUGGGUGCAUGAGGAUUUGUAUGUGUGGGCAGUGGGUCCCUUCCCCACCCCAAAACAGCUCCCUUUGGGCUGCUAUUGCCUGAAAUUCCAGCAUUAAAGAAAACUGCCUACUCCAGGCAUCUUCUUCCAAAGGGUAGAUCCCACGUAUUAAGUGAAUACAUGAAACCAGAAACUCUUUGUGUAGUUUCAAACUAUUGAAGUAGUGGGAGGCUUUGCUUCCAUGACAGCUGGCUGCAAGGAGGGCCCAGGAAGAAGGGCAGUUUUGAUGCAGGGGAAUAAUUUUGGAAUGUGAAGGUAGGGACUGGCCUGGGCACAACAGAAAAGAGGGGGAUGGCGCAGAGACCCAGACUGUGGAGCACUCAAGGUAGUCUCCCAACUCCUUCACUCACGUUUACUCCCCCUCCCCGAUAGCUUCAUCUCUCAGAAAUCCAUCAGCCAAGAGGUGAAGAGCCCCUGGCUCCCACCUCCCUCCUAAGAAGCCAAAGCCCAGGGGUGUGGCCUGCCCCUAACAGGCCACCCCCUCGCUUACAUGCACUUACGUAUAAAAUUCUUCUGCAGGGGAUGUUGAGUGGAGUGUCCAGGUGACGUUGUCCUCGGAGAAGUAGUUGGUGCAGUUGCCAGUGUUCCAGGAGUUCUUACAGCUGGUCCAGGGCAGCUGGGCCGCAAAAGAGGAGAUGAGGUAGUAGAGCGCCCAGGCCAUGAUGGUGUUGUAGUAGGAGGCGAUGUAAAAGGCAAUGAUGCAGAUGGCGUAACCGAUCCCUGGGAGAGAGAGGGUGAGGGAGGCCAAGUUUCAAGGGCAGCCCAGCAGUUAGGCAGGGCAUCAGGGGCACUGCAGCCCGGGUGAGGGCUAAAGGUGGGGCUGCCAUUCAUUUCAUCCUCCAAAGACUCCAGGAGACAGUGGGAAAGUGGCAAUAUGGUAGAUUCCUUAUUUGUAUUUGCAGAGUUACAUGUUCUAGAAAAUGUGUACAUGUGCUAUUAAUGCUUUUUCUAUUUCGUUUA